rnacentral:rRNA from 1 species
GUAUCUGCAUAUCUUUGGUAAACAUAGAUAGCCUUCGAGGGUGAUACACAGGUACUGCAUGGCCGUCGUCAGCUCGUGUCGUGAGAUGUAGGGUUAAGUCCCGAAACGAGCGCAACCCCUAUCCCAUGUUACAAGUGUCUUGGGAAACUGCCUCGGUAAAACGAGGAGGAAGGUGGGGAUGACGUCUGGUCCGCAUAGUCCUUAUGUCCUGGGCUACACACGCGCUACAAUGGUCGGUACAAUGGGCAGCCAAGCCGUAAGGCGGAGCUAAUCCUGUAAAACCGAUCUCAGUUCGGAUUGUGGGCUGAAACUCGCCCACAUGAAGUUGGAUUCGCUAGUAAUCGUGGAUCAGCCAUGCCACGGUGAAUACGUUCUCGGGUCUU